rnacentral:lncRNA from 1 species
GGAAAACACCACACACACACACACACCAAAUACAAAUCUAAUAACCAAAUAUGCAAUUAAUCUUAAGGGAGUUUCAAUUUUUUGCCUCAUCCCUUCUUUCACAUUCUUAGUUUUGGGUUGGAGGAGACUUUUUAAAAAACUAUCCAGAGAAAAAAAUCAAGAUAGAUCUGAGAUCAACUCAUCUAACAUGAUAGUAAAUAUAAGAUGGAAUUAACCCACUCAUCAAGAAAACCACCCCAUGUCACCAAGCAAAAGCCAAUCUAAGCCAUUUAAAUGAGACAUCCAUAACAAAGAGAGCCAUCAAAGUUGAACAUGAAAAAGAUGGACACAGGUGUACCAGACCAAGCACAAAAGAAAUCAAGCAUUGCCAGUUUAUUUUCAAGGAAGAAAUCCGAGACAAAAAAUAAGACAAAGAUCAUUCACAUUCUAAGUUAAAAAAAAAAAAAUCCCCCCAAACCCAAAAAAGUGUUGUAUUGAAUGCACAAGCAGUAUUGUUGUAAAAAGAGGGUUUUUAGAAAUUUAUGCAACUAUCCUGUAUUUCUUCCAAAUGUCACUGAAAAAAAUAUUAUUCCAUUUUUCAAAAAGUAACAAUGGCAUUGCUCUUCUGCUCUAGUCAAUUAGCAGGGUUACUGCAUUAGGCAGAAAGUUUUAUUUGUAUUUAGUAAAACAAAUCGUUUAGGUAAGUAGUUGUGUCAAAAUUUUUCAAUAUGAAGCAAAAUUAAAAUUGCAAUGUUAAGUCUUCCCUACCACAAAUAUCUCAAUUGUUGCUUCAAAAGAGAAAAGGAGAAACCAACUUGAGUCAAUGAAUCUUACUGAAAAUCACCUUGUUUUCUCAGGAGGACCAUAUUUGAAGAGAUUCUGAGACCUCUCAGGGAGAUAUCACUGCUAUGACUUAGGAAAGAUGGCAAUAUAGGCUCAAAUUUACUUUCUGAUCCAAGACAAAUUUCAAAAUAGCUGGAGUCAAAUUGAGAGAUUUGAUUUUACAAGGGUUCAAAUGGUAACAGGUUUG